rnacentral:rRNA from 1 species
GAUGAACGCUAGCGGCAGGCCUAACACAUGCAAGUCGAGGGGUAACUAGAGUGAUAGCAAUAUUACUUUGGCUAGACCGGCGCACGGGUGCGUAACACGUAUGCAACCUACCUUAUACUGGGGAAUAACUUCGAGAAAUCGGCGCUAAUACCCCAUAACAUUGCGAAGAGGCAUCUCUUUGCAAUUAAAGCUCCGGCGGUAUAAGAUGGGCAUGCGUCCAAUUAGCUAGUUGGUGAGGUAACGGCUCACCAAGGCUACGAUUGGUAGGGGUUUUGAGAGGAUGAUCCCCCACACUGGUAAUGAGACACGGACCAGACUCCUACGGGAGGCAGCAGUGAGGAAUAUUGCGCAAUGGACGAAAGUCUGACGCAGCCAUGCCGCGUGCAGGAUGACGGCCCUAUGGGUUGUAAACUGCUUUUGUACGGGAAUAAACCCUUCUACGUGUAGGAGGCUGAAGGUACCGUAAGAAUAAGCACCGGCUAACUCCGUGCCAGCAGCCGCCGUAACAC